rnacentral:rRNA from 1 species
GGAAUAUUGGACAAUGGAGGGAACUCUGACCCAGCGACGCCGCGUGCGGGAUGAAGGCCUUCGGGUUGUAAACCGCUUUCAGCAAGGAAGAAGCGAAAGUGACGGUACUUGCAGAAGAAGCACCGGCUAACUAUGUGCCAGCAGCCGCGGUAAUACAUAGGGUGCAAGCGUUGUCCGGAAUUAUUGGGCGUAAAGAGCUCGUAGGUGGUUCGUCACGUCGGAUGUGAAAAUCUGGGGCUUAACCCCAGACCUGCAUUCGAUACGGGCGAGCUAGAGUGUGGUAGGGGAGACUGGAAUUCCUGGUGUAGCGGUGGAAUGCGCAGAUAUCAGGAGGAACACCAAUGGCGAAGGCAGGUCUCUGGGCCAUUACUGACACUGAGGAGCGAAAGCGUGGGGAGCGAACAGGAUUAGAUACCCUGGUAGUCCACGCCGUAAACGGUGGGCACUAGUUGUGGGAACCUUCCACGGUUUCUGCGACGCAGCUAACGCAUUAAGUGCCUCGCCUGGGGAGUACGAUCGCAAGAUUAAAACUCAAAGGAAUUGACGG